rnacentral:rRNA from 1 species
AGAGCGCAAGGGGAAUGCCUUGGCACCAGGAGCCGACGAAGGACGCAGCAAUCUGCGAAAAGCCACGGGGAGCCGAAAGCAGGCAUCGAUCCGUGGGUAUCCGAAUGGGGAAACCCGGCUGAGUGAAGCUCAGUCAGCGUACACUGAAUCCAUAGGUGUGCGUGGGGAACCGCCUGAACUGAAACAUCUAAGUAGGGCGAGGAAAAGAAAUCAACCGAGAUUCCGCAAGUAGUGGCGAGCGAACGCGGAAGAGGCCAAACCGGCUGUAGAAAUAUGGCCGGGGUUUGGACAGCGUAAUGCAUGUUGGACCCUAGCAGAAGGGCAUGGGACGGCCCACCAUAGAGAGUGAAAGUCUCGUAUGCGAAAGGGAAAAACAGCAGGCUGUAUCCAGAGUACCACUGGACACGUGAAACCCGGUGGGAAAACGGGGGGACCACCCUCCAAGCCUAAAUACUCCCUGGUGACCGAUAGUGAAGAGUACUGUGAAGGAAAGGUGAAAAGAACCCCGGGAGGGGAGUGAAAAGAACCUGAAACCUUGUGCUUACAAGCACACAGAGCACGUCAAGGUGUGAUGUGGUACCUUUUGUAGAAUGGUCCGGCGAGUGAAUGUAGCAGGCAAGGUUAAGCACUAAAGGUGUGGAGCCGAAGCGAAAGCAAGUCUGAAUAGGGCGUGAAGUCUGCUGUAUUCGACCCGAAACCGGGUGACCUAGCCAUGUCCAGGCUGAAGUGAAGGUAAAACUUCAUGGAGGGCCGAACCCACUCCCGUUGAAAUGGUAGGGGAUGAGGUGUGGCUAGCGGAGAAAUUCCAAUCGAACCCGGAGAUAGCUGGUUCUCUCCGAAAUAGCUUUAGGGCUAGCCUCGAUUGAACAUUACCGGAGGUAAAGCACUGAAUGGGCUAGGGGCCGAGAGGUUACUGAACCCUAUCAAACUCAGAAUGCCGGAUAAUGAUAAUCGGGAGUCAGACAGUGUGAGAUAAGUUUCAUUGUCGAAAGGGAAACAGCCCAGACCCACAGCUAAGGUCCCAAAGUAUCGUUAAGUGGAAAAGGAUGUGGAACUGCCCAGACAACCAGGAUGUUGGCUCAGAAGCAGCCAUACAUUCAAAGAGUGCGUAAUAGCUCACUGGUCGAGUGGUUCUGCGCCGAAAAUUUAACGGGGCUAAACGAUACACCGAAGCUUGGGAAGUUAGAUGUUAGACAGUAGAGAUUAGAGGUUGGAUGAGAUGGCCGAGAAAAGGGAAGGAUACCGGAAGCUGUAGGUAUACGAAAAAUCGUACAGAAGUGCGGUGGAGAUAUACCGGAUGACAGCAGACUUUCCGAAAGAGGAAAGAUACGGGAUCACCGACCAGAUGAGACGGGCAUCGGUAUCGAUCGCGCUGAAUGUAGCGGAAGGAUAUGCAAGAAGAGAAAGCCAGGAGGAGCUGAAGAGGUUCCUGCGAAUGGCAGUGGGAUCAGCGGCAGAAAUGCAGGUGCUGAUUGAUUUUGCAAGGGAAUUGGGAUACAUCAGGGAAGAGAGAUACAAAGAAACAAAAGAAGCGUAUGAAACGAUCGGGAAGAUGCUGAAUGCGUUCAUACGAAAGCUGAAAGAAAGCAGAUCCAAAAUCUAGUAUCUAGCGUCUAACAUCUAACUUGGUAGGAGAGCGUUCUGUACGGGGUGAAGUCAUAGCGGAAGCGGUGGUGGACUGUACAGAAGAGAGAAUGCCGGAAUGAGUAGCGAGAUUUAUGUGAGAAUCAUAAAGGCCGAAAGACUAAGGAUUUAGAAGGAAGGUUCGUCCGCUUCUAGUUAGCCGGGAGCUAAGGCGAGGCCGAAAGGCGUAGUCGAUGCACAUACGGUGGAGAUUCCGUAGCCGCCUCUUAAUUUAAGCAAAGGGACACUUUCAAAGUGCAUGACCCGGGCGUUGGUAGCCCCGGGCGAAAGGGACCGAAAAUAGAGUAGGGAAGCAUGCAUAGAGGAAGGCGAGAAAAGCUUUGCGGAUAGAGAGAGGCGCCCGUACCGCAAACCGACACAGGUAGUCAGGAAGAGGAUUCUAAGGCCAACGGGAGAAGGGUAGUUAAGGAACUCGGCAAAUUGACCCCGUAACUUCGGAAUAAGGGGUGCUCCUGAAAAGGAGCCGCAGUGAAUAGGCCCAGGCGACUGUUUAUCAAAAACACAGCUCUCUGCUAAAUCGAAAGAUGAAGUAUAGGGGGUGACACCUGCCCGGUGCUGGAAGGUUAAGAGGAAGGGUGCAAGCUCUGAAUUGAAGCCCCAGUAAACGGCGGCCGUAACUAUAACGGUCCUAAGGUAGCGAAAUUCCUUGUCGGGUAAGUUCCGACCCGCACGAAUGGUGUAACGAUCUGGGCACUGUCUCAACUACCCACCCGGCGAAAUUGUAGUACCGGUGAAGAUGCCGGUUACCCGCGGCAAGACGGAAAGACCCCAUGGAGCUUUACUGUAGCCUGAUAUUGGGUUUCGGUAUUCUAUGUACAGGAUAGGCGGGAGACAGGGAACCGAUGGCGUCAGCUGUCGGGGAGUCGACGUUGGGAUACCGCUCUUAGAGUAUUGGAAUUCUAACCUGCGGCCGUGAAUCCGGCCGGGGGACAUUGUCAGGUGGGCAGUUUGACUGGGGCGGUCGCCUCCUAAAAGGUAACGGAGGCGCUCAAAGGUUCGUUCAGCACGGACGGAAAUCGUGCAGUGAGUGUAAACGCAUAAACGAGCCUAACUGCGAGACCGACGGGUCGAGCAGUAACGAAAGUUGGAGUUAGUGAUCCGGCGGUAUGUGAGUGGAAAUGCCGUCGCUCAACGGAUAAAAGCUACCCUGGGGAUAACAGGCUGAUCUCCCCCA